rnacentral:tRNA from 1 species
GGAUUGUGGCUUAGCGGUAGAGCGCUUGCUUAGCAUGUGCGGGGCCCUGGGUUCGAUCCUCAGCACCA